GCACACUGUGAGUCACAUACAAGUCAGUGCAUGGCGAAUCUUUCGUUAAGUGGGAUAUGCAGGCUAACGAGGGAACAGGAAGCUGCCAGGCUGCGAUACAUAAUUCUCAGCAAACUUCAUGAAGAAUGAUGGCUUCUAUUCCAGAUGAGGUUUCAUGUGCUGCCCAGGAUGAGCCACUGUGCCCGGCCAAAUGAGCUAUUUAUGAUGAUCAUAAGGACACAAGAUAAGGGAUUAGUAGAUUACAUGCCGGAGGAAGUCACCACCAUCACAUAUUGGAUUUCAGCAAGCAUUUGAUAAAAUUGCUUAUAAUAUUUUGGCCAAUAUUGGAUGGAAAAAUAUUGAGGAGAUGAUGUAGUGCUGAAGAAAGACAAGAUGCUGAGGAAGACAAGACUGGUUAACAGAUCAUGGCAUUUUAAAGGUUCCAUGAAGAAUGGACCGCAGUGUAGAACUGUGUUUGGACAGAAAAGGUAUAAUCUUAUGGAAAUAGACCGAGUGGGGAAUCCCAGCAAGGCCUGUCUGUUAAGGUUCUUCCUGGCCUCUCUGUGCAGCUGUCUUCCUUCCAGGUAUGAGGCAGAACCCUUUUUGGAAUGAGUGUCUUAUGACCUAUCGUUAAACAAUGUAAGUCAGAGAUUUCUUUAUGGCCAGGUCUUACACAGGAAGGUCGGGGAGUGGCAGGAGGUUAGAGUAAUGUUUUUAGGUUUUAUGGCUGGCUUUGAGGAACAGGAGUUCUAGUUUCUAUAACACACCUUGGGGAAGAAGGAUUAUAGUUUUUAUGGCUAGCCUCGGGGGAGACUGAUGGGCCAGAGACAGGAGGGAAGGAGAAGGUCAGAGAGAACUUGCUUCUGAGGCUACCUCUGAGGCCUUCACUUUGGGAUAUUGUUUUCUGAGCCACAACAAUCUCAUAAAUAUAUACAACUAUAAUCUGUCAAUUUACAAUUAAAAUAAAUUUUAAAAAAUAAAGAUACUGUGACAGGUAACAAACAGAUACAUGGUUCAGGCAAACAAAGAGGAUGGGGGAGGUUGGCAAGUGUCUAAUGGGAAUGGUGGGCACACUAAUAAGUGGGCAGUGUACUUGAGUCAGGAGCAAAUGGUAGUCCUCGGCAGGCAAGAAUGGGCACCACAGAAAGAUGGACAGGCCACAGGCUUGUAAUUUUAGUAUUGGGGUAUGGGUGGGGAGAAGUCUCUGCAUGAGGAUAUAUGCAAAAUGGAUGAAAAGAUCCCAAGUUUAAACAUGUUUUUAAAAAAAUAUAAAGGUACUCCAGUUAGAGAAUAAUGGGGAUAAAAAGCAGUUUAUUGAAACGGUAAUUUCAGAAAGCAUUGGCCAGGUGCAAUGGCUCAUGCCUAUAAUCCUAGCACUUUGGGAGGCCAAGGCAGGAGGAUCACUUGGGGGCAGGAGUUCAAGACCAGCUAUGAGUUUGGGCAACAUAAUGUGACAUCAUCUCUACUAAAAACAAACAAACAAACAACAACAACAACAAAAAAAAAACAAAAAAAAAAAACAUUAGCUGGUUGGUGUCGCACAUGCCUGUGGUCCCAGCUAGUCGGGAGGCUGAGGCAGGAGGAUCACUUGAGCUGGGGAGGUCGAAGCUGCAGUGAGCUGUAAUGAUGCCGCAGCAUUCCAGCCUGGGCCACAGUUAGACCCUGUCAAAAAAAAGAAAAAGAAAAAGAAAAAAGAAAGGGUCACAUGCAUGGCAGAAGCUCGGCUGUUAGCCCUAAGGGCCAGCACUGUACAAGGAGGAAUCACAAUCCUGUGCUGAGUUCUAGAUUUUUGGUCUGGAGACCUUCAAAUUCUGAGUAUUAUCCCUAGACAAAUGGGGGAGACCACGCCCAUAGAGAGAAGUCAGGUGGCCUAAGCUAUAGAGAGGAGGGAUACAAAGGGAAAGAAUCAGGAAGUGCCUUAUCCCCACGUAGGGUCAACCAGUAGGUCUAUACCAGCUUUGUGGGAAAGCUCUUAAUUAUUUGUCUGAGAGCUUUGUCUAUGACUCUGACCUAUUCAAAUAGUCAUUAUGAACUUGAAUGAAAACAAGGAUAUGAAAAUAAAAUUUGUGAACAACACAGAGUUAGAG
rnacentral:lncRNA from 1 species